CAGUCAUAGCUGGCGAUACGUCCUGCCUUGUACACACGCCGUGUACUACCGAUGAAUGGCUUAGUGAGCCCUCGGAUUGAGAUUGAGACUGCAACAGGCUUCGUUCUUAAGAAGUUGGUCAAACUGGUCAUUAGAGGAAGUAAAAGUCGUAACCAAGGUUCCGUAGGUGAACCUGCGGAAGAUCAUUA
rnacentral:rRNA from 1 species